UUCCGGUUGAUCCUGCCGGAGGCUACCGCUAUUGGAAUCCGAUUAAGCCAUGCGAGUCGAGAGGGUUAAGCCCCUCGGCGGACGUCUCAGUAACACGUGGGUAAUCUGCCCUUGAGUGGGGGAUAAACUCGGAAACCUGAGUAUAAUACCCCAUAGGCCUAGGAUGCUGGAAUGCUUCUAGGCUCAAAGCUCCGGCGCUCAAGGAUGAGUCUGCGACCUAUCAGGCAGUAGUGGGUGUAACGGACCCACUAACCUUCGACGGGUACGGGCCUUGAGAGAGGUUGCCCGGAGUUGGACUCUGAGACACGAGUCCAGGCCCUACGGGGUGCAGCAGGCGCGAAAACUUCACAAUGUGGGAAACCGCGAUGAGGGGAUUCCAAGUGCUAACACUUUGUGUUAGCUGUUCACCUGCCUAAAAAGCUGGUGAAGUAAGGGCCGGGUAAGACGGGUGCCAGCCGCCGCGGUAAUACCUGCGGCCCGAGUGGUGGUCGUUAUUAUUGAGCCUAAAGCGUCCGUAGCCGGUUCAGUAAAUCUCUGGGUAAAUCGGGCAGCUCAACUGUCCGACUUCCGGAAAGACUGCUGAACUUGGGACCGGGGGAGGUUGGAGGUACUCCUGGGGUAGGGGUGAAAUCCUGUAAUCCUAGGGGGACCACCAGUGGCGAAGGCGUCCAACCAAAACGGCUCCGACGGUAAGGGACGAAGCCCUGGGGCGCAAACGGGAUUAGAUACCCCGGUAGUCCAGGGUGUAAACGCUGCAGGCUUGGUGUUGGGGGUCCUACGAGGGCGCCCAGUGCCGGAGAGAAGUUGUUAAGCCUGCCGCUUGGGGAGUACGUCCGCAAGGAUGAAACUUAAAGGAAUUGGCGGGGGAGCACAGCAACGGGUGGAGCGUGCGGUUCAAUUGGAUUCAACGCCGGG
rnacentral:rRNA from 1 species